rnacentral:rRNA from 1 species
GACAGAGGCCCCAAGCGUUAGGCGGAAUCACUGGGCUUAAAGCGUGUGUAGGCGGAUCGUUAAGUGUCUUGUGAAAUCCCACGGCUCACCCGUGGAACUGCUGGGCAUACUGGCGAUCUUGGGCCAACUAGGGGCAGCCGGAACAAGCGGUGGAGCGGUGAAAUGCGUAGAUAUCGCUUGGAACGCCGAAGGUGAAAACAGGCUGCUGGGGUUGUGCCGACGCUGAGACACGAAAGCCAGGGGAGCAAACGGG